rnacentral:piRNA from 1 species
UACGAUGACGAUGGGUACCAGUCCUAC